GACGAACGCUGGCGGCGUGCUUAACACAUGCAAGUCGAACGGAAAGGCCCUGCUUUUGUGGGGUGCUCGAGUGGCGAACGGGUGAGUAACACGUGAGUAACCUGCCCUUGACUUUGGGAUAACUUCAGGAAACUGGGGCUAAUACCGGAUAGGAGCUCCUGCUGCAUGGUGGGGGUUGGAAAGUUUCGGCGGUUGGGGAUGGACUCGCGGCUUAUCAGCUUGUUGGUGGGGUAGUGGCUUACCAAGGCUUUGACGGGUAGCCGGCCUGAGAGGGUGACCGGCCACAUUGGGACUGAGAUACGGCCCAGACGCCUACGGGAGGCAGCAGUGGGGAAUAUUGACAAUGGGCGGAAGCCUGAUGCAGCAACGCCGCGUGCGGGAUGACGGCCUUCGGGUUGUAAACCGCUUUCGCCUGUGACGAAGCGUGAGUGACGGUAAUGGGUAAAGAAGCACCGGCUAACUACGUG
rnacentral:rRNA from 1 species